GUGAGAGGGAAUCGAAACGAUUCGCUUGCGGUAUAACAGUCUUAUAUGAUAUAGAAUUGAUGAUAAGUGCAACCUUAUUCAUAUUUCAAUGACAAUGUUAUAAAAGUAAUAGACCCAGUGAAUAACUUAUGCCUAUAUCUUGCGUUGGGUGUUUUCCGCAAGAGGCCUGUCAACAGUCGUUGUGUUAGGAACAACAGUAACCGCGCUGAGAAAGUGUGCAGAAAAGGAGGACACAUGAUAAACCAGCCAACUCUGGCACGGAUUAAGGAUGGCGGAUUAAGUGGCGAGAAGGUAUCGAACACUAGUCGUUUUAAGCCGACGUAGCAGGUUGUCGGGAUGAAAAAGUGUUGUGAGACCUUAAAAAAUAGGGUGAGGAUGGUUCAAAAGCAUGGUACAGAAUUCGUUGACAAAAGGAAGGUCGUGGAGGAGAAUGAGACUUUUGGACAUCGACAUCUUUAGUGUUGAGCCUGAUUACUUUUUCCUUCUAUUACCGGAUGAAAACACUUCAAGGGUACAACAGAUAUAAGAACAAAAAGCCAGGCGCGGACACACCCAUCCCAUCCCUCACGAUCUUGGCUUCACAGAAAUCACAUUAUUAAUAAUAAUUUAAUUGCAGAUAAUUUUUGGUCUAAGGGGUUUGUUAUGUUGGUAGUCACUUGAAAUAUAAACUUUACUUAUUAUAACCUGACAUUUUCUGUUAAAAACGUGUAGUGAGGUGUAUUUGAAAAAUCGUUGACUUGUAAAUGGUUAUUACAUUUUUAUUUUUAUUUAGAGCGUCGUAUAUGUAAGUUGAAUGUUAAUGUUAUCUCUAUGGUUGUAAAUUAACUGAAUUUGUAUUCAAAUUUUUUUUAUAUUUUACUAAGUUGUUGUAGUGAAGGCUAAAUAUAGAGCCGAAAGCUUGGCAACUGUAUAA